rnacentral:rRNA from 1 species
UGCGUAGGCGGAUAAAUAAGUCAGAGGUGAAAUCCUACAGCUUAACUGUAGAACUGCCUUUGAUACUGUUUAUCUUGAAUUAAGUUAAGGUCAGCGGAAUGUGGCAUGUAGCGGUGAAAUGCUUAGAUAUGCCAUAGAACACCAAUUGCGAAGGCAGCUGGCUGGGCCUUAAUUGACGCUGAGGCACGAAAGCGUGGGGAGCGAACAGGAUUAGAUACCCUGGUAGUCC